UGGGGAAUCUUAGACAAUGGGGGAAACCCUGAUCUAGCCAUGCCGCGUGAGUGAUGAAGGCCCUAGGGUCGUAAAGCUCUUUCGCUGGGGAUGAUAAUGACCAUACCCAGUAAAGAAACCCCGGCUAACUCCGUGCCAGCAGCCGCGGUAAUACGGAGGGGGUUAGCGUUGUUCGGAAUUACUGGGCGUAAAGCGCGCGUAGGCGGAUUGGUCAGUCAGGGGUGAAAUCCCGGGGCUCGACCCCGGAACUGCCUUUGAUACUGCUAGUCUAGAGUUCGAGAGAGGUGAGUGGAAUUCCGAGUGUAGAGGUGAAAUUCGUAGAUAUUCGGAGGAACACCAGUGGCGAAGGCGGCUCACUGGCUUGAUACUGACGCUGAGGUGCGAAAGCGGGGGGAGCAAACAGGAUUAGAUACCCUGGUAGUCCACGCCGUAAGCGAUGAAUGCCAGUCGUCAGGGGGCUUGCCCUUUGGUGACACACCUAACGGAUUAAGCAUUCCGCCUGGGGAGUACGGCCGCAAGGUUA
rnacentral:rRNA from 1 species